UACAGAGGUCUCAAGCGUUGUUCGGACUCAUUGGGCGUAAAGGGCGCGUAGGCGGCGGGGUCAGUCGGGUGUGAAAUCUUGGGGCUUAACCCCGAAACGGCACUCGAAACUGCCCGGCUGGAGGGCCGGAGAGGAGAUCGGAAUUCACGGUGUAGCAGUGAAAUGCGUAGAGAUCGUGAGGAAGACCCGUGGCGAAGGCGGAUCUCUGGACGGCUAACUGACGCUGAGGCGCGAAGGCCAGGGGAGCAAACGGG
rnacentral:rRNA from 1 species